GGGAAUAGUAUAGUGUCAUCAGACCUUGCUGGAUCCUGCCUACCCAAGCGUACCUCUGCCUUCUCAGACUGCUUACAUGUAUGACUUCAGCUUUGAAUAAAACUACGCCUAACAUCAUGCCCUCGUCUCAGAAUCCUGCAUUUGGAUCCAGCCCGGCACCAGAGGUCCCAUUGCCACCUGGGACAAUGGUCUCCAUUCAGAUCCAGGUCACAGUUGAGUGGAACCAGUCUGCUUUGUUUGGAUCGGUCCGGUCCAGUUUGGUCCAUCUGCCACACAAGUUAGCUUCACAGGGACACGAGUGAGACACGACUGCCAGCAUACAGGUGUGUUUUCACAAAAAAGGUUUCCUCUGAGGGGGUCAGGAGUUGAACACAAGUGGUACCAACACAACGGCGAUGCUGCAACGCAGAGUUACUGAAUGCAGCAAAGAAGCUAAUUGAAACGACCAACCUGCGUGAGAGUGAGUUCGACGACACAGACUCAAACCAACAACGUUACGACCUGCUCCCCUUUUGCUUCUCAGAUUUUACCUCGUCCCACAGAGAAGUUCAUCUUUGAGGAUACCUCUUCAACACCAGCAUAUUCCCAUAGUUAAAUCUUAAAACACACACACACACAC